rnacentral:rRNA from 1 species
UACGGAGGGUGCAAGCGUUAAUCGGAAUUACUGGGCGUAAAGGGUGUGUAGGCUGUGUGCUAAGUCAGAUGUGAAAGCCCGGGGCUCAACCUCGGAACUGCAUCCGAUACUGGCAUGCUAGAGAAUUGGAGAGGAGUCUAGAAUUCACGGUGUAGCAGUGAAAUGCGCAGAUAUCAGGAGGAACACCGAUGGCGAAGGCAGGUCUCUGGGCAUUAACUGACGCUGAGGAGCGAAAGCAUGGGGAGCGAACAGG